GCGCAAGCUCGUAUCCCUUCCGUGCUUGGGCUACAGGAAAUGUCAUUUCCGGGCCUGCGCACACGCCACCGGAACCGGAACCAGUGAGUGAGUAGUAGUGGUUCCUCCAGAACCCAGAACUUGCCCAAGCCUACCUCCUGAACGGUUCUUUGCAGGCGAUCACCAGGCAGUUCCAUCCCUUGGGACCUCGGACCGCAGCAUAAGCCUCAAACGCCAUUCCAAUGCUCCUUCCCACAUGCUCCGAAAGACCAUGUCUUCCCGGCUGUCCAAGAAACUGCGGCAGAAGUAGAGCGUCUGCUCCAUGCCCAUUCUCAAGGACAACAAGGCCCAGAUAUGAAGAAACUGAAACUCAAGUAAUACAGAACAUGUAGCUGAGCAUGACGUUGGAUUUAUGAUCUUCCUGAGUGCUGCAGUUAUGGGCAUGUGCUACCAUGGUAGACCUCCGCAGUGCCGGGGCCUGUGGGUUGUAAGCUCAUUCCCCGCCGCUGCUGACUUCACUCCCAGCCACAAGUAGUUUUUUGGUUGUGGUGCUGGGGUCUGACAUAAGACAUCAGGCAACUACAGGACAAGUGUACAGCACAGAAAAAGCUAGCUAGCUCUGGCUGCCAAGACGAUUUUGUUCAGAAGUUUCUGUGUUCAGCCCACAUGUGCCUGACAGCUUCCUCCAUGUUCUGUGCUGUCCAGGUGCUUUGAGGAGACCACGGAAGUCAGCGGGUCAACAAGGUAGUCCUAGUGUGCAGGGACCAGUGUGUCACCUACAUCGAGUGAGUGUGCAGGGACCAGUGUGUCACCUACAUCGAGUGAGUGUGCAGGGACCAGUGUGUCACCUACAUCGAGUGAGUGUGCAGGGACCAGUGUGUCACCUACAUCGAGUGAGUGUGCAGGGACCAGUGUGUCACCUACAUCGAGUGAGUACAACAUAAGACGGCCAAAGGCACUGCUGUCUACAUGGGCAUCCAACCUGGCAAGGUGCUCAUCACCGCACUGGAACCAGACAAAGACUGGAAAAUAAUUGUUGAACGCAAAGCCAAGUCUCCAAAAAUUGGGAGAGAAAAAGUUGGCCAAUGUAAGGAGCUCACUGAGAAUGCAAGAGUGGACAUAGGUGUUGCGCAGCAGGGCCUGACCAGAGAGCCUUUGAAACCUUUGGCUUCUUUGAAACCUUUCAAAGUAUAAGGUGUUUUACUACUGACUCUGUAAAUCUCCUUUUGCAGUUUUGAUAAUUUAUGAAUAAAAAUUGGAACCAUCUCCUAAUUC